GGUAACAUUUGGGGCCCCUUGACACCGCUGGAAAAUCUUUCACAGAUCCCUCGAUUCCCAGACUGGCUUUUAAAAGGGUUGCAGUAAGUGGCCAAUAAAAACAAUGGCUAUACAAUAUACAUUACUAAAAAAAAAUGGAAUUAGAAAAAUAUAAAGUGUUAUGGUGUGUGUGUUUCUAUGGUGACGGUGGGAGGAGGUUAGCUAUGCAGUGUGAAUGAUGCAAGAUAAUCGGCAUUGCCGUCAGCGGUGUUAGGUAGGACAGACGACUCCAGAACGCCAGAGAGAAAAGACGUAUUUUUGUAAGGAGUUAGAUUUAGUUUGAAAUACCAUUUUAUAUUAUGACUAAAGUCUACUACUUGUAUUUCAUUGUACCUCAAGUUGAUUUUGUUUAUAUUCUAAUAAAAGUUGCAUGUAAUAUCGUUCACAAAGAAGUUAUUCAAGUUAUUUUAACAUUUUAGAAGUUAAAAUAUAGCAGGCCUACAGUGGUUUAGUUGUAUACAAGCAGUUUGGUGCCACAAGUCAACGACCGUCUACAACAUAAAGUUAUCCGCAAUC